rnacentral:rRNA from 1 species
GCAUCGAUGAAGAACGCAGCAAAAUGCGAUAAGUAAUGUGAAUUGCAGAAUUCAGUGAAUCAUCGAAUCUUUGAACGCACAUUGCGCCCGCCAGUAUUCUGGCGGGCAUGCCUGUUCGAGCGUCAUUUCAACCCUCAAGCACAGCUUGGUGUUGGGAUUCGUAGUUCUGAACUACGGUCCCCAAAUCUAUUGGCGGUCACGUCGAGCUUCCAUAGCGUAGUAAUUACACCUCGUUACUGGUAAUCGUCGCGGCCACGCCGUUAAACCCCAACUUCUGAAUGUUGACCUCGGAUCAGGUAGGAAUACCCGCUGAACUUAAGCAUAUCAAUAAGCGGAGGA